AGUCUUAUAUUCAAUAAUGAUUUUAAAUUGCAAAUUUAAAGGUAGCAAAAUGCUUAAGGCUU
rnacentral:tRNA from 1 species